rnacentral:rRNA from 1 species
GACGAACGCUGGCGGCGUGCUUAACACAUGCAAGUCGAACGGAAAGGCCCUGCUUUUGUGGGGUGCUCGAGUGGCGAACGGGUGAGUAACACGUGAGGAACCUGCCCUUGACUUUGGGAUAACUUCAGGAAACUGGGGCUAAUACCGGAUAGGAGCUCCUGCUGCAUGGUGGGGGUUGGAAAGUUUCGGCGGUUGGGGAUGGACUCGCGGCUUAUCAGCUUGUUGGUGGGGUAGUUGCUUACCAAGGCUGUGACGGGUAGGCCGCCUGGGAGCGUGAACGGCGACAUUGGGACUGAGAUACGGCCCAGAAUCGUACGGGAGGCAGCAGUGGGGAAUAUUGCGCAAUGGGCGGACGUCUGAUGCGGAAACGCUGCGUGCGGGAUGCCGGGUUUCGGGUUGUAAACCGCUUUGGAAUGUGCCGAAGAGUUCGUGACGGUAAUGGGUAAAAAAGCAACGGCUAACUACGUG